rnacentral:misc_RNA from 1 species
GGAGCCAGCUUUGAGUUUCAGAUUGACCCCCACUUUAAUAAUCCAUGGCCCAUGGGUUGUUCCUUUACAUAUUUCUCUCACGCACCAGCCCCUUCUAUAAUGGAUAUUACAGAAUAAUAUUCGUGAUUACCUAUAAAUGUAAUAAGAGAAUUUACCACUAAACUCCCACCUGCCAUGGUAGCUCCAUCCUACCACCCUUCUAUUCAACUCAAAACUUAAUCCAAAGUAUUAUUAUAAUUAUAUUAUUUUUAGUCUCAUCCUAAUUAUGAGGAAAUGUGAAAGUGAUUGUUAACUUGGACAAGGGUGUAUAAGGUCCUUUGCUUGAAGUGGAAGAAGUCACUGCAACGCCAGAAAUUAGCAGGCAGCCACCUUCACAGAUAUCUCCAUGAUUGCAUUGCUUUUAUCUCCAAUGAUCAUCGCUUCCUCGCAUAAGCCUCCUCCCCUACCACCAACCUAAUCUAUUCUCCCAAUUCACCAGAAAUUUCCUCCCAAUCUCCCCACUUUCCCCCCCCUUAUAACACUACUCUCUUUUGCCUACAACCAACCUCAAACGUACUCCAUGGCCACUUCUUGUCCUUUCUUGCUCUGUUUUUUGCUCUGUUUUCUGCAUCUCUCUCUUUCAAUCUCUGAGAUUUUUUUUCUCCCUCUUACUCAUUCCCUCUCCAAUAACCACUUCACCUCCACCCACCACCUCCUCAAAUCCACCUCCACCCGCUCCGCUGCCCGCUUCAAAAACCACCACCGUCGCCUCCAAAAACACCACCAUCGCCAAGUCUCUCUUCCUCUCUCUCCAGGUAGUGAUUACACCCUCUCCUUCACUCUUAGCUCCCACCCUCCUCAACGUGUCUCCCUUUAUCUCGAUACCGGCAGCGACCUUGUCUGGUUCCCUUGCCAGCCCUUCGAAUGCAUUCUAUGCGAAGGCAAAGCAGAAAACACCACCACUUCAGCUCUGCCUCCUAAACUUUCCUCCACAGCCAGAACAGUCCUCUGUAAAUCAUCUGCAUGUUCUUCUGCCCACUCCAACCUUCCCACUUCUAAUCUCUGCGCUAUUGCUAACUGUCCUUUGGAGUCCAUUGAAACUUCCGAUUGCCGAUCAUUUUCUUGCCCUCCAUUCUAUUAUGCAUACGGCGAUGGCAGUCUUAUUGCACGGCUUUACCGUGACUCUGUAACACUUCCAUUGGCAACUCCAUCUUUAGUACUCCAUAAUUUCACCUUCGGCUGCGCCCACACUGCUCUCGCUGAGCCAGUUGGGGUUGCUGGGUUCGGCCGCGGCGUACUUUCCUUGCCCGCUCAGCUCGCUUCCUUGUCUCCUCAACUUGGGAAUCAGUUCUCAUACUGUCUGGUGUCUCACUCGUUCGAUUCGGACCGAGUCCGCCUCCCGAGUCCACUCAUUCUUGGCCGUUCAGACGAAAAGGAGAAACGGGUAAAUAACAACGAUCAACCUCAAUUUGUUUACACUUCUAUGCUCGAUAACCCAAAACACCCUUAUUUUUACUGUGUUGGGCUCGAUGGAAUUUCUAUUGGCAAAAAGAAAAUUCCGGCACCGGCAUUUUUGAAAACUGUCAAUAGAGAGGGAAGCGGUGGGUUGGUAGUGGAUUCGGGAACCACUUUUACUAUGUUGCCGGCGAGUUUGUAUAACUCGGUAGUGACGGAGUUUGACAACCGAGUUGGGAGAGUCUAUGAGCGAGCCAAAGAAAUUGAGGACACGACCGGGCUCGGCCCGUGUUACUAUUAUGACAGUGUAGUGAAUGUCCCGAGUUUGGUCUUACAUUUUGUUGGGAAUGAAUCGAGUAUAGUGCUGCCUAGGAAGAACUAUUUUUAUGAAUUUGUGGACGGUGGAGAUGGCGUGAGGAGGAAGAGGAAGGUUGGUUGUAUGAUGCUGAUGAACGGCGGAGAUGAGGCGGAGCUGAGCGGUGGGCCCGGCGCAACCCUGGGGAACUACCAGCAGCAGGGGUUUGAGGUGGUUUAUGAUUUGGAGAAGGGAAGGGUUGGCUUUGCAAGAAGGAAAUGCGCAUCUUUGUGGGAAAGCUUAAACCAGGGCUAACGUGCGCUGGCGUUGACUGCCGGUUUGAAAGUUGAAAUCUAUGGGGUUUGACCGCACGUGAGGCCUAUGUAAGUAAACUAGGUUUGAUGGUAAUAGGGUGGGUUUAGGGUAAUAUUGUCUUGUGGAUAAGGGCUAUAAUGUUACUUUG